CCUACGGGAGGCAGCAGUGGGGAAUCUUGCGCAAUGGGCGGAAGCCUGACGCAGCCAUGCCGCGUGAAUGAUGAAGGUCUUAGGAUUGUAAAAAUUCUUUUCACCGGGGACGAUAAUGACGGUACCCGGAGAAGAAGCCCCGGCUAACUUCGUGCCAGCAGCCGCGGUAAUACGAAGGGGGGCUAGCGUUGCUCGGAAUUACUGGGCGUAAAGGGAGCGUAGGCGGAUAGUUUAGUCAGAGGUGAAAGCCCAGGGCUCAACCUUGGAAUUGCCUUUGAUACUGGCUAUCUUGAGUAUGGGAGAGGUUAGCGGAACUCCGAGUGUAGAGGUGAAAUUCGUAGAUAUUCGGAAGAACACCAGUGGCGAAGGCGGCUAACUGGCCCAUUACUGACGCUGAGGCUCGAAAGCGUGGGGAGCAAACAGGAUUAGAUACCCUGGUAGUCCACGCCGUAAACGAUGAGUGCUAGUUGUCGGCAUGCAUGCAUGUCGGUGACGCAGCUACGACAUAAGCACCUCCGCCGUGGGAGGUACGGUCGCGAGAAGUUAAACGUAACUAAGUAGUUAGUUAGUACGGCGUUGAGACGNGCCGACGGACGACGACGAGGGAGGAGG
rnacentral:rRNA from 1 species